UGCCGUGCAGCACUGAGUGUGGAGCCAAGGGACGUUGUGCAGAGAACUGACUGCUCACCGCUUCGUACAGAGCCCUCAGGAAGUUGAUCUCAUCUGCCAGCCCAUCUGCUUUGGCCUGCAGUUCCACCUUGUUCAUGUGAUAUUUUGGGAAGCCCAAGGGUUCAGACCAUGGCUCCAUGACAGUGCAUGAGCAUGUCCUGUGCUAAAUGCCAAACCCGUGUACAAGAAACCCAACAUGAAUAGAGAGCGCAAUCUCUUACUUGUUCUUGAAGUCCUCCACCAUGUCUUGCAUGCUCCGCAGCUCCGAGUCCAGCCGUCCCCUCUCCCCCAUCAGGCUGUCCAGCUGCCGCCUCAGGUUGUUGAUGUAGGACUCGAAGAGGGGCUCCAGGGACUUCCUGGUGACCGUGUGGCCCUGCUCUUGCAGGAGGCUCCAUUUGGUCUCCAGCACUUUGUUCUGCUGCUCCAGGAAACGCACCUGGGGAAACAAAAAAUGACUGUAACCCACCAGAAAGAGAAGAGGGAGAGCAUGGAAUGAGGAUCUUCCCACAGGAAUUCAGGGCACUGAAUUCUCCAAAGAAGCACAAACAGCUUAGGGAGAAUUUUCAAGAGUUAUCAAGCUGCCAAGCAUCCGCGUUUGCAAUUCUACGUGUUUCU